rnacentral:rRNA from 1 species
GUAGGGAAUCUUCGGCAAUGGGGGCAACCCUGACCGAGCAACGCCGCGUGAGUGAAGAAGGUUUUCGGAUCGUAAAGCUCUGUUGUAAGAGAAGAACGUGUGUGAGAGUGGAAAGUUCACACAGUGACGGUAACUUACCAGAAAGGGACGGCUAACUACGUGCCAGCAGCCGCGGUAAUACGUAGGUCCCGAGCGUUGUCCGGAUUUAUUGGGCGUAAAGCGAGCGCAGGCGGUUUAAUAAGUCUGAAGUUAAAGGCAGUGGCUUAACCAUUGUUCGCUUUGGAAACUGUUAGACUUGAGUGCAGAAGGGGAGAGUGGAAUUCCAUGUGUAGCGGUGAAAUGCGUAGAUAUAUGGAGGAACACCGGUGGCGAAAGCGGCUCUCUGGUCUGUAACUGACGCUGAGGCUCGAAAGCGUGGGGAGCAAACAGGAUUAGAUACCCUUGUAGUCC